rnacentral:rRNA from 1 species
ACCGGCAGCUAGCUCUCGCAUAGCCGCCCACUGAAGCUAAGCAGGGCUGUGCCCGAUCAGUACCUGAAUAGGAGAUCACAUGGGAAAGCUAGGUUGCUGCCGGAA